UACGUAGGCAGCAAGCGUUAUUCGGAAUUAUUGGGCGUAAAGGGCGCGUAGGCGGCCAUUCAAGUGACGGGUGAAAGCCCUCGGCUUAACCGAGGAACUGCCUGUCAGACUGGAUGGCUUGAGACCGGGAGAGGUGAGUGGAAUUCCCAGUGUAGCGGUGAAAUGCGUAGAUAUUGGGAGGAACACCAGUGGCGAAGGCGGCUCACUGGACCGGAACUGACGCUGAAGCGCGAAAGCAUGGGGAGCGAACGGG
rnacentral:rRNA from 1 species